UACAGAGGAUGCAAGCGUUAUCCGGAAUGAUUGGGCGUAAAGCGUCUGUAGGUGGCUUUUUAAGUCCGCCGUCAAAUCCCAGGGCUCAACUCUGGACAGGCGGUGGAAACUACCAAGCUGGAGUACGGUAGGGGCAGAGGGAAUUUCCGGUGGAGCGGUGAAAUGCGUAGAGAUGUGGAGGAACACCAGUGGCGAAGGCGGCUUUCUGGUCUGUAACUGACGCUGAGGCGCGAAAGCGUGGGGAGCAACAGG
rnacentral:rRNA from 1 species